GAAGCAAGCCAGACCGCCGCUGGGGCAAGCACCGAAAGGUGGCCCUGGAGGAAGGUCCGGACUGCACAGAGCGGCGUAGCAGUUAACGGCUGCCCACCGUGAGGUGAGGAUCAGAGCAACAGAGACGAGUCGAGGCGGGCCACCGCGUUGGGUGUUCUGUGAGGCGCCGGCGAAAGCCGGCGACCGGAUGGCGACAGCCAGCCGGUUCGGGCGCAAGCCCGAAACCGAACAGCCACCCGAGGCGGCUUUGCCGCCUCGGGUGAAACGGGCAAUCUCUACGCGCAGCAACACCGAAUAGGCACACGUUGAUCCGGCUCGGGGAGUGUGCGGGUAGGUGGCAUCGAGCCGGUGGGGCGACCCCCGGCCCAGAGGAAUGGCGGUCACGGCGCUUCUGCCCCGCAAGGGGUGGCGGCGCUGCACAGAAUCCGGCCUAUCGGCUCGCUUCACAC
rnacentral:RNase_P_RNA from 1 species